CGGGGCGUAGCGCAGCCUGGUAGCGCAUCUGCUUUGGGAGCAGAGGGUCGGGAGUUCAAAUCUCUCCGCCCCGA
rnacentral:tRNA from 1 species